CGCGGGGUGGAGCAGUGGUAGCUCGUCGAGCUCGUAACCCGACGGUCACAGGUUCAAAUCCUGUCUCCGCAA
rnacentral:tRNA from 1 species